AUACGUAGGGGGCAAGCGUUGUCCGGAUUCACUGGGCGUAAAGCGCGCGCAGGCGGUGAUGUAAGUCUGAGGUGAAAACCCGAAGCUCAACUUCGGGACUGCCUUGGAUACUGCGUCACUUGAGGAUAGGAGAGGCAAGGGGAAUUCCACGUGUAGCGGUGAAAUGCGUAGAGAUGUGGAGGAACACCUGUGGCGAAGGCGCCUUGCUGGCCUUAUUUCUGACGCUGAGGCGACGAAAGCGUGGGGAGC
rnacentral:rRNA from 1 species